GACGAACGCUGGCGGCGCGCUUAACACAUGCAAGUCGAACGGAAAGGCCUGCUUUCCCUUGUGGAUUGCGGGUACUCGAGUGGCGAACGGGUGAGUAACACGUGAGUGAUCUGCCCCCAACUUGGGUAUAAGCCUGGGAAACUGGGUCUAAUUCCCGAUAGGACUGCAGGGUGGUGCCGGUGGUGGAAAACGAUUUUCUAGUGGUUGGGGAUGAGCUCGCGGCCUAUCAGCUUGUUGGUGGGGUAAUGGCCUACCAAGGCGGCGACGGGUAGCCGGCCUGGGAGGGUGGACGGCCACAUUGGGACUGAGAUACGGCCCAGACUCCUACGGGAGGCAGCAGUGGGGAAUAUUGCACAAUGGGCGGAAGCCUGAUGCAGCGACGCCGCGUGGGGGAUGACGGCCUUCGGGUUGUAAACUCCUUUCGACCGCGAGGAAGCCACCUGGUUGGAAGGGUGGUGACGGUAGUGGUAGAAGAAGCACCGGCUAACUACGUG
rnacentral:rRNA from 1 species